GGGGGCGUACUGGCUUCGACGGGGAUAGUAAGGCUAAAGGGGCAUGUCGAGGGUGUCGGGUACCUCGUAAAUCCAUUUGACAAAAUAUAGUCGCAAACGACGAAAACUUCGCUCUCGCCGCUUAAACGCGAGGCCCUUGCCAUUAGCUCUCUGAUGGGCUAAUUUACCAAGGUCAUUUACAUCAGAUCGUCAUGACGAUGUCUAUAAGUCGUGGCUAAACUUAAUAGACUGUGUUGUUGUUCUCCCUGUCUGUUGGGUUGAGCGACAACGAGAAUAAUAAACAGACUACACAUGUAGAACCGAUAGUUAAGCAUCUUCGGACGGGGGUUCAACUCCCCCCGCUUCCACCA
rnacentral:tmRNA from 1 species